CAGUCGCCACGGUAAUACCAGCAGCCCAAGUGGUGGUCGCGAUUAUUGGGCCUAAAGCGCUCGUAGCCGGGCCGGUAAGUCCCUUGUGAAAUCGGACGGCCUAACCGUUCGGCGUGCAAGGGAUACUGUCGGUCUUGAGGCCGGGAGACGUCCGAGGUACUCCGGGGGUAGCGGUGAAAUGUUCUGAUCCUCGGGGGACCACCGGUGGCGAAGGCGUUCGACGAGAACGGGCCUGACGGUGAGGGGCGAAGGCUAGGGGAGCAAACGGGAUUAGAUACCCGCGUAGUCCCUGUCUCUUAUU
rnacentral:rRNA from 1 species